rnacentral:snRNA from 1 species
CGGGGGACGGACUGGGAACGGCUC